AAAAGGAUACUUGAAUAAGAAUUUUUCAAUGAAAGAUGUAGCGCCCAAGAUGCGAUUCUAUCCCAAUCACGUGAUGAAUUCAUGAUUUGGGCACAACCGCAUUUCGAGUGCAUAGCAAGGUGGAUAUCAUUACAACAUACCAUGUACUGAAUAAAUGAGAAUACAAGGUAAAGGCUUACACUCGCCACAAGCUACAACAUGAAUACAAUAGUUCAACAAUACAUAGCAAUCAACAUACAGAAGAGCAGGAUCCGACUACGGAUGAAAUCGAACAAAAAAGAAGAACGACAUCCACCCUACUAACCCCAGGCUCCCCGACCCGGAACCUAUCCCUUGAUCGAAGAAGAAGAACUGCAAAACCAAUCAAGCAUCACUUUCACGUCAGAUCAUCGCAUUACCUGUACCUGCAAUUGUUGUUGUAGUAAUAUGUGAGCCAGGAGGACUGAGCAAUCCCAUUACCAUGGGUAUCAAGACUAGCAAAGCUUAAUGGGUAUGGAAUGGAUAAGUGGUGGGGUUGCAGCAAGCGACUAAGCAUUGUAUGGUGGCUAACUUACGAGUACAAGAAUAAGAUGAGAAACUACGCAAUGGUCACAAACUAGUAAUGAUCAAGAAGUGAUCCUGAACUACUUAUGUUCAAACAUAACCCAACCGUGUUCUCAUCCUGAACCUCGUCGAAAAGGGACCAUCACAGUUACCCACGCGGUUGGUGUAUUUUAAUUGAGUUUAGUCAAGUCCACUACAACCGGAUAUUAACAAAUUCCCAUCUGCCACAGAACCGCGGGCACGGCUCUCAAAAGUUUAAACCCUUCAGGGGUGUCCCAACUUAGCCCAUGACAAGCUCAUGACCCGCGGAGACAAUCCUCCAUCGUAGGACAUCCGAUCAAACUCGUGAUCCCGGUGCACAAGACAUUUCGACAAUGGUAAAACAAAACCAUCAAGACCACCCGAUGCGUCGAUACCCCGAUAGGAGCCGCGGGUAUCUCAUUCUUAGGACAACACCGUCUAUGCUAAGUGGACGGUAGCCAAAAUGCCAUUUAGUUGCCCCGAGGCGGCACCGCCGACUGCUAGGUAGGUGGACCAACACUCAUGAGGAGCACUGGCCCGGGGGGUUGAUGAAAGCACAAGUGCUCCCUGGGUGGUUUUGGUAAUUAAUGUCAGCGUAUCUCCUGUUGGACUAAUGCUUCUAUCAAGUAUAUUUCAGAUAAGUUCAACAUAUGGAGUGUCAUGGACAAGAGGAUAUGGAACCCCUUCAAGAUGCUAAGGACAAAGGAUUGGAUCAAGCUCAAAAGCUCAAGGCUCUACAUUUUCAGUUUAAUGAUCCAAGAUCACAUUGAGUCCUUAGGAAAGCCAAUACUAUUAAAAGGGGAUGAGGUGUUGCUUAAUGGCUUGCUUGGUCAAAGUGCUUAGUGAUAUGCUCCAAAGCCCUCAACCACUUUCCCAUAUCCACAUAUGUCCCAAACCAAAAGUCAAACUCGGCCCACCGAUUUGAUCCAUUCGGCGCCGCCGAGUUCACUUGACAUAGCCACAACCAAAAACCCUAAUCAAUUCGGUCUCCCGAUGGUAUUUCGGUCUCAUUGAGAUGGGCUUGCAAACUCUCUGUUGCCUGUUGCAAUUAUUUUGGUCCCACCGAGAUAGGCACAUCGGUCCCACCAAGUUUGGUUGACCAACUCUCUGUUUUGCUUAUUACCGAAAUCGGUCUCACUGAGUUUGUGUAAUCGGUCAAACCGAGAUGAGGUUUUACCCUAACCCUAGCACAUCGUUCCCACCGAGUUGAUCAUAUUGGUCCCACCGAAAUGCCUAACGGUCACAUUAUGAACUGAAUCGGUAUGACCGAGUUGUCUGAUUUGGUCCCACCGAGUUUAGCAAAUUGUGUGUAAUGGUUAGAUUUUGUGUGGAGGCUAUAUAUACCCUCCACCCUUCCUUCAUUAGCAACGAGAACCAUCAGAACGUGCCUACACUUCAGCAUUCAUUUUCUGAGAGAGAAUCACCUACUCAUGUGUUGAGACCAAGAUACUCCAUUCCGACCAUAUGAACCUUGAUCUCUAGCCUUCCCAAGUUGCUUUCCACUCAAAUCAUCUUUCCACCAAAUCCAAAUCAGUGAGAGAGAGUUGAGUGUUGGGGAGACUAUCAUUUGAAGCACAAGAGCAAGGAGUUCAUCAUCAACACACCAUUUAUUACCUUUUGGAGAGUGGUGCCUCCUAGAUUGGUUAGGUGUCACUUGGGAGCUUCUGUCAAGAUUGUGGAGUUAAACCAAGGAGUUUGUACGGGCAAGGAGAUCGCCUACUUCGUGAAGAUCUACCCUAGUGAGGCAAGUCCUUUGUGGGCGAUGGCCAUGGUGGGAUAGACAAGAUUGCUUUUGAGUGGACCCUUCAUGGGUGGAGCCCUCCAUGGACUCGCGCAACCAUUACCCUUCGUGGGUUGAAGUCUCCAUCAACGUGGAUGUACGAUAGCACCGCCUAUCACAACCACACCAUCAAUCUCCGUGUCUCCAAUUGCAUUUGCACACUCCAAUCCCAUCCAUUUACUUUCUUGCAAAUUACAUGCUUUGCUUUUCGCUGCUUAUAUAUCAUACGUCCAUUUUGCAUGAUGCUUUUCUAUCAAUAUUUAUUGCAUUAUGGGCUGUUAUUACACAUUAUGUCACAAUACUUAUGCAUAUUCUCUCUUAUUUUACAAGGUUUACAUGAAGAGGGAGAAUGCCGACAGCUAGAAUUCUGGGCUGGAAAAGGAGAAAUAUUAGAGACCUAUUCUUCACAGCUCCAAAAGUCCUGAAACUCCACAGAGUCAUUUUCAGAAUAUAUAAAAAAUAUUGGGCGAAGGAAGCACCAAAGGGGGGCCACCUACCAUCCACAACGGCGGGGGGGCGCACACUACCCUCUUGGGUGCGCCCCCUGCCUCGUGGGCCCCCUGGCAGGCCUCCGAUGCCCAUCUUCUGCUAUAUGAGGUCUUUCGUCCGAAAAAAAAUCAUAAGCAAGAUCACGGGAGGAAACUCUGCCGCCAUGAGGCGGAACCUUGGCGGAACCAAUCUAGGGCUUCGGCGGAGCUGUUCUACCGGGGAAACAUCCCUCCGGGAGGGGGAAAUCAUCACCAUCGCCAUCACCAUCGAUCCUCUCAUCGGGAGGGGGUCAAUCUCCAUCAACAUCUUCACCAGCACCAUCUCCUCUCCAACCCUAGUUCAUCUCUUGUAUCCAAUCUUUGUCUCGAAACCUCAGAUUGGUACAUGUGGGUUACUAGUAGUGUUGAUUACUCCUUGUAGUUGAUGCUAGUUGGUUUAUUCGGUGGAAGAUCAUAUGUUAAGAUCCUUUAUGCAUAUUAAUACCCCUCUGAUUAUGAACAUGAAUAUGAUUUGUGAGUAGUUACGUUUGUUCCUGAGGACAUGUGAGAAGUCUUGCUAUAAGUAGUCAUGUGAAUUUGGUAUUCGUUCGAUAUUUUGAUGAGAUGUAUGUUGUCUCUCCUCUAGUGGUGUCAUGUGAACAUUAACUACAUGACACUUCACCAUUAUUUGGGCCUAGGGGAAGGCAUUGGGAAGUAAUAAGUAGAUGAUGGGUUGCUAGAGUGACAGAAUCUUAAACCAUAGUUUAUGAGUUCCUUCGUAAGGGGUUGAUUUGGAUCCAUAUGUUUAAUGAUAUGGUUAGGUUUACCUUAAUACUUCUUUCCUAGUUUCGGAUCCUUGCAAGAGAGGUUAAUCAUAAGUGGGAUGAUUGUCCAAGGAAGGGCAGUACCCAAGCACCGGUCCACCCACAUAUCAAAUUAUCGAAGUACCGAACGUGAAUCAUAUGAACGUGAUGAAAACUAGUUAGACGAUAAUUCCCAUGUGUCCUCGGGAGUGUUUUCCUUUAUAUAAGAGUUUGUCCAGGCUUGUCCUUUGCUACAAAAAGGAUUGGGCCAUCUUGCUGCACCUCAUUUACUUUUAUUACUUGUUACCCGUUACAAAUUAGCUUAUCACAAAACUAUUUGUUACCAAUAAUUUUAUUGCUUGCAGAGAAUACCUUACUAAAAACGGCUUAUCAUUUCCUUCUGCUCCUUGUUGGGUUCGACACUCUUACUUAUCGAAAGGACUACGAUAGAUCCCCUUCACUUGUGGGUCAUCAAUAUACUCUUUCCAUGCUUGCUUGAAUGUAUUGUGAAUUUUUUGAACUUGUGCUAAAACUCCACCUUAACUUGAAGAAAUUAAAAACUGCUACUUUUCUUUGUUAAGAGUCUAUUCACCUCUUCUCGAUCCUUUCAAUUAGUAUCAGAGCAUUGGUCUCGAUUGCAUUGGUUUAAACACCUUUGGAGGAAGAUGGAUGAGUCUAUGUUGGGGAGUCUUAGACGUAGAGUGCCUAUACUUGAUGGAGAGUUCUUUCAUGAGUGGAAAAUUCAGAUUCUUGAGAUUUUCAAUGAAUAUCAUUUGAACAAGUAUAUUACUAGCCCUUGUGCACCUCAUGUUGAUCCUUUGCAUCCUGCCCUUGAUGAGUCUAUUGACAUGAUCCGUAAUCUUAGAACUGUCAACCUAAUCACUAAAGGAUUGCCUAGAAACUUGUUUGCUAGCUUGCUUGCUCUUGAUUGUGCCUACACCAUAUGGAGAUUUCUUGAGGAACGAUUUCCAAACUAUUCCUUGCAAAACUUGGAUGAAAUUCUUCAUAAGUCUAUUGCUUUGAGUAAGAUGAGUUCCAAUGAUCCCAAAUUUGGUGAUUGUCUAUUUGAGCCUACUAAUCUCACACGUGCCAAAGGAGAUGUUGGAAUCAUUAGCAAUAUCAUCUCCGAAGCCACUAGAAUUCAUAAAGAUAACUAUUGUGAUGACCAUUUAUCUAUUGAAUUACCCUCUCUAGGAAUUGAUCCAUCACAAGACGAUGUUGAACAUGGAUACUAUGAUGAGGAUGAUGAUAGUGACUUUGAUCCAAGGAAGGGUAGUACCCAAGCAUAGGUCCACCCACAUAUCGAAUUAUCAAAGUAUCGAACACGAAUCAGAUGAACGUGAUGAAAACUAGUUUGAGGAUAAUUCCCAUGUGUCCUCGGGAGCGUUUUCCUUUAUAUAAGAGUUUGUCCAGGCUUGUACUUUGCUACAAAAAGGAUUGGGCCAUCUUGCUGCACCUCAUUUACUUUUAUUACUUGUUACCCAUUACAAAUUACCUUAUCACAGAACUACCUGUUACCGAUAAUUUCAGUGCUUGUAGAGAAUACCUUACUGAAAACAGCUUAUCAUUUCCUUCUGCUCCUCAUUGGGUUCGAUACUCUUACUUAUCGAAAGGACUAUGAUAGAUACCCUACACUUGUGGGUCAUCAAAACUCUUUUCUGGCGCCGUUUCUAGGAAGUGAAGCACCUUUGGUAGGUGGAAUUUGGUAAGGAAAAAAUUUAUAUAGUGUGCUGAAAUUCACUGUCACUUGUUACUAUGGAACAUAAUCCUUUGAGGGCCUUGUUCGGGGUAUCUUCACCCCUGAGUAGAGCAUCGAGUUGCUCGUCAACCUACUGAACCUACUUAAAAUGUUUAUUUUGAAAUUCCUCCGGUUAUGAUAGAGAAACUGCUAGCUAAUCCUUUCACGGGCGAUGGAACAUUACAUCCCGAUUUGCACCUAAUCUAUGUGGAUGAAGUUUGUGGAUUAUUUAAGCUUACAGGUAUGCCUAACAUGUUAUGAAGAAGAAGGUCUUCCUUUUAUCUUUGAAGGGAAAGGCAUUGACAUGGUUUAGGCUAUGUGAUGAUAUGGGAUCAUGGAACUACAACUGAUUGAAAUUGGAAUUUCAUCAGAAGUUUUAUCCUAUGCAUCUUGUUCAUCAUGAUCGUAAUUAUAUAUAUAAUUUUUGGCCUCGCGAAGGAGAAAGAAUCUCUCAAGCUUGGGGGAGGCUUAAGUCAAUGUUAUAUUCAUGCCCCAAUCAUGAGCUCUCAAGAUAAAUUAUUAUUCAAAAAAUUUAUGCGCGGCUUUCUCUCAAUAAUCGCUCCAUGCUCGAUACUUCUUGUACUGGAUAUUUUAUGAUGAAGACUAUUGAAUUCAAAUGGGAUUUAUUGGAAAGAAUUAAACGCAACUAUGAAGAUUGGGAUCUCGACAAAGGUAAGGACCCAGGUAUAACCCCAAAGUUUAAUUGUGUUAAAUCUUUUAUGGAUACCGAUGCCUUUCGUGAAUUUAGCACUAAAUACGGACUUGACUCUGAGAUAGCAGCUUCUUUCUAUGAAUCCUUUGCUACUCAUGUUGACCUCCCUAAGGAGAAGUGGUUUAAAUAUAAUCCUCCCAUUGAAGUAGAAGUAGUUGCACCUAUUAAAGUUGAAGAAUAGACUAUCACUUAUAAUGUUGAUCCUGUCAAGCAGGAAAACAAAUUGGAGGAAGUCAUCUCGUGAAGAACAUCAUGACCAUGAGAAGACCGCUCGAGCUACUUCAUAUGGAUCUCUUCAGUCACAAUGCCUACAAAAGUCUCGGUGGUAACUCAUUUGGUCUAGUCAUAGUCGAUGAUUUUUCAAGAUUUACGUGGGUGUUCUUUCUUGAUGAUAAAUCACAGGUCCAAAAGAUCUUCAAGAACUUCACUAGGAAGGCCCAAAAUCAAUUUGAAGUGAAGAUCAAGAAGGUUCGAAGCGACAAUGGAACGGAGUUCAAGAACGCAAAUGUGGAUACCUCUCUUGACAAAGAAGGGAUUUCACAUGAGUUCUCAGCAACGUAUACGCCUCAACAAAAUGGAGUUGUUGAGAGGAAGAACCGGACUCUUAUCGAGAUGGUGAGAACGAUGCUUGAUGAGUACAAGACUCCAAAACACUUUUGGGCGGAAGCGGUUGAGAUAGCUUGUCAUGCAACAAAUCGCUUGUAUAUUCACAAGCUACUCGGCAAGACGGCAUAUGAACUUCUCACCGGUACAAAACCUAAGUUGGAUACUUUCGAGUAUUUGGCUCAAAGUGUUUCAUUCUUGAUAAGCAUCGUCGUUCUAAAUUUGCUCCUAAAUCUCAUGAGGGUUUCCUACUUGGUUAUGGCUCAAGCUCUCACACUUACCGUGUCUACAACAAUUUCACCCGAAAGGUUGAAGAGACGGUAGAUGUGAAGUUUGAUGAAUCUAACGGCUUGCAAGUAGAUCACUUGCCAAUUGAUGUAGGAGACAAAAGACCAUUUGGAAGCAAUCCAAGACUUUUCUAUUGGAAAGAUUCAUCCAACGGAGGUGAGGGAGAUUACCCCGUCCGUCCAAGUGGAAGCUUCUACCUCACGACAAGGUGAACCAAGAGAUGACAUGGAAACAUCCACAAGUGGAACACGCCAAGAUUAAGAAAACAAGGAAGUACACCAAGAUGAACCUCAUCAACCUCCUUCUCCACCUCGACAAGAGAACGACAACAUCAACAACAAAGAAGUCCAAGAAGAAGAACGAGAUGAUGAAGAAGAUGCUCCACCCCGACCCAAACAAAAGCUCCCACGGGUUCAAGCAAGAGUUUCACGAGACCAUCCCGUUGAACAAAUCUUCAACGAUAUUCAAACCGGGAGAAUCACUCGCUCUAAAACUCGUUUGGCUCAUUUUUGUGAACAUUAUUCAUUCAUCUCUAGCAUUGAACCUAUGAAGGUUGAAGAAGCAUUGGAAGAUCCGGAUUGGAUAAAUGCCAUGCAUGAAGUGCUACACAAUUUUAAGAGAAACCAAGUGUGGACAUUGGUCGAGAAGCCCGACAACAACCAUAAAAUCAUCGGUACCAAAUGGGUGUUUCACAACAAGCAAUACGAAGAUGGACAAGUAGUUCGCAACAAAGCACGUCUUGUCACCCAAGGCUACACUCAAGUCGAAGGUAUGGACUACGAUGAGACAUAUGCCCCCGUUGCUAUACUUGAGUCCAUCCGCAUCUUACUUACCUAUGCUAAUCACCAUGAUAUCACCUUGUACCAAAUGGACAUUAAAAGUGCUUUUCUAAAUGGUGAAAUUGAGGAGGAAGUUUAUGUUAAACAACCUCCCGUGUUUAUUAAUACUAAGAAACCUGAUCAUGUUUGCAAACUUCAUAAAGCUCUUUAUGGUCUUAAACAAGCUCCUAGAGCGUGGUACAAAUGCUUGACCAAGUUCCUUAUUGAAAAAGGCUUUGAGAUUGGAAAGAUUGAUUCUACUCUUUUUACUAAAAGGGUUAAUGGUGAAUUAUUUGUGUGCCAAAUUUAUGUUGAUGAUAUCAUAUCUGGUUCAACUAACCCUCAUUUUAGUGAAAAGUUUGGAAAGCUAAUGUCGGAGAAGUUUCAUAUGUCUAUGAUGAGUGAACGCAAAUUCUUCCUUGGUUUGCAAAUCAAGCAAACUAAGGAAGGCACCUUUGUUUCCCAAACAAAGUAUACUAAGGACUUAUUCAAUAAGUUCAACAUGCAAGAAAGCAAAGAUAUGAAAACUCCCAGGCCUACUAGUGGACAUCUUGACUUAACCAAGGAUGGCAAACUAGUUGACCAAAAGGUUUAUAGCUCUAUGAUUAGUUCAUUGUUAUAUCUAUGUGCCUCCUGUCCCGAUAUUUUGCUAUGUGUGUGCAUGUGUGCAUGAUAUCAAGCGGCCCCCAAAGAAUGUGAUCUUAAGGAUGUGAAAAGGACAGUGAGAUACCUAAUCCAUACACCAAAAUUUUGGCAUUUGGUAUCCUAAGAGGUCUUCUUUUGAUCUUGUUGGCUAUUCCGACUCGGACUAUGCCGGUGACAAGGUUGAUACAAAGUCCACUUCAGGUACUUGUCAAUUUCUUGGUAGAUCUCUUCUAUCUUGGUCCGCCAAGAAACAAAACUCGGUAUCCUUAUCCACUACCGAAGCGGAAUACGUUGCCAUCGGUUCAUGUUGUGCUCAAUUACUUUGGAUGACCCAAACUCUUAAAGAUUAUGGGAUCUAUGUGAAACAUGUUCCAUUGCUUUGUGAUAAUGAAAGUGCUAUUAAGAUUGCUCAUAAUCCCGAGCAACAUUCUCGAACCAAGCAUAUUGAAGUUUGUCAUCAGUUCAUUCGAGAUCAUGUUUCCAAAGGGGAUAUUGAUCUUAAGCAUGUUCGUACCGAUAAGCAAUUGGCGGAUAUAUUCACCAAGCCGCUUGAUGAGAAAGUAUUUUGCUGUUUGAGAGGUGAAUUGAACAUCAUUGAUGCCUCAAACUUGGAGUAGAAACUCCAUUUGGAUACAUGCAAGGCAUGAGCCUUUGACUAAUCCUUGAUAUUUCUCUUAUGAUGAUGAUCAUAUAUCUUGGAUAUGUUUGCACCCUUGCAUGCUAUCUAACCCUUGUAGGUACUUGGAUGAACCAAAAUCUAUGAGAUUGCAAAUCACUCACAUCUUGAGCAAUCUCUACAUCACCAAGUCUCUACAAUAUGGUGGUUGAAGACAAGGAAGCAUGAAACCUUUAAACAUAUCCUUUGACCAUUUCUAUAUAUCAAAUUCCAUUUGAUAUCAAAUUCAUGAUUGUCAAUUUGGAUACACAAGUGCUCUUCCUUGCAAGACUAACCCAUGUAGGUAGAUGAACUCAAAUUACAAGUGGUGCACCCAAUCCUUGCUGAGCUACAUCAACCUUGAGCAUCCCACACAAGUUCAACUACAUGAUCAAGUUCAACUCCACCACCCAAGGUAUGCUAUUCCAUCUGAGAGAAGCUUUACCCCAAGUCAUGGGUCAAAGCAACUCAACAAGAUGCGAAUACAUCAAAUUCUUAAAUGAAAAAAGGUAACCCCAUUUUGAGCUUAAACGAUGAGUAUGACCUACGAUCAAGUGUUCUCACUUGACUCCUCAGUCAAUAUACUCUAACAUAGGUGACUUUGUCGCCGACCAAUUCUAGAUGAAGUUCUCUAGUGUCUCUCUGUAUUUUUGUUUCAUUUGUCUCUUGCAUGUUUGUUUCCCUUUUCCUUUCUUUGUUUUGUUUUGCAUUCCUUGCAUCAAAUUCAUUGCAAAUCCUUCCAUUAAUUCCUUGCAAACCUGGAUAUAGAACUAUAGGUGGAAUAUAAUAUGAUGAUGGAGGUUGUGUGGAGAAGACAAAAAAGGAGAAAGUCUCACAUUGACGUGGCUAAUCAACGGGCCAUGGAGAUGCCCAUCAAUUGAUGUCAAUGUGAGGAGUAGGGAUUGCCAUGCAAUAGAUUCACUAUAGCUAUAAGUGUAUGAAAGCUCAAACUGAAACUAAGUGGGUGUGCAUCCAACUUGCUUGCUCAUGAAGACCUAGGGCACUUGAGCAAGCCCAUAGUUGGAAUAUACAAGCAAAGUUCUAUAAUGAAAAUUCCCACUAGUAUAUGAAAGUGAUAACUCAAGAGACUCUCUAUAUGAAGAACAUGGUACUACUCUUAAGCACAAGUGUGGUAAAAGGAUAGUAGCAUUGCCCCUUCUCUCUUUUUCUCUCAUUCUUUUGGUGGGCUUCUUUGGCCUCUUUUUUUAUCUAGGCUUGUUUGGCCUCUUUUAUUUUUCAUAAAGUCUGGAGACUCAUCCCAACUUGUGAGGGAAUCAUAACUUCCAUCAUCCUUUCCUCACAUGGGACAAUGCUCUAAUAAUGAUGAUCAUCACACUUUUGUUUACUUACAACUCAAUAUUACAACUCGAUAUCUAGAACAAAGAUAUGACUCUAUAUGAAUGCCUCCGGCGGUGCAUCGGGAUGUGCAAUGAUCUAGCAUAGCAAGGAUAUCAAAAAAGGGACGAGCCAUGAAAACAUCAUGCUAGCUAUCUUACAAUCAUGCAAAGCAAUAUGGCAAUGAAUGCUCAAGUCAUGUAUAUGAUGAUGAUGGAAGUUGCAUGGCAAUAUAUCUCGGAAUGGCUAUGGAAAUGUCAUGAUAGGUAGGUAUGGUGGCUGUUUAUGGAAGAUAUAAGAAGGCUUAUGUGUGAUAGAGUGUAUCAUAUCACGGGGUUUGGAUGCAUCGGCGAAGUUUGCACCAACUCUCGAGGUGAGAAAGGGCAAUGCACGGUACCGAAGAGGCUAGCAAUGAUGGAAGGGUGAGAGUGCGUAUAAUCCAUGGACUCAACAUUAGUCCUAAAGAACUCAUGUACUUAUUGCAAAAUUCUAUUAUUCAUUGAAACAAAGUAUUACGCGCAUGCUCCUAGGGGGAUAGAUUGGUAGGAAAAGACCAUCGCUCUUCCCCGACCGCCGCUCAUAAGGAAUACAAUCAAUAAAUACCUCAUGCUCCAACUUCGUUCCAUAACGGUUCACCAUACGUGCAUGCUACGAGAAUCACAAACUUCAACACAAGUAUUUCUACAAUCCACAAUUACCCACUAGCAUGACUCUAAUAUCACCAUCUUUAUAUCGCAAAACUAUUGCAAGGAAUCAAACAUAUCAUAUUCAUUAAUCUACAAGUUUUAUGUAGGAUUUUAUGACUAACCAUCUGAAUGACCAAUUCAUGUCAUCUCUCUAAAUAUAUAUAUAAGUGAAGCAAGAGAGUUUAAUUAUUUCUACAAAAGAUAUGCCCACACUCUAACAAAUAUAAGUGAAGAAAAAGAGCAAACUACAAAUGGCGGUUUUCUAUGUGAAGAGAAACAGGCAAUCCAAACUUCAAAUGAUAUAAGUGAAGCACAUGAAGCAUUCUAUAAAGCCAUACUCAAAAGACAUAAGUGAAGUGCAAAGAACAUUCUAUAAAUCAACCAUGGAGCAUCUCAUACCAUCAUGGUGCAUCAAUGAAAAGUGAAAACUAAAUGCAAAACAUGCUCCAAGAUUUGCACAUAUCACAUGAACGAAACGAAACCGAAAACAUACCGAUACUUGUUGAAGAAAUAUGGGAUGCCUUCCGGGGCAUCCCCAAGCUUAGACGCUUGAGUCUCCUUGAAUAUUUACUUGGGGUGCCUCGGGAAUCCCCGAGAUUGAGCUCUUGCCUCUCCUCCUUCUCCACAUAUCGAGACCUCCUCGAUCUUUGAUCACUUCAUCCACGCAAAACUCAACAGAAAGCUCGGUAAGAUCCGUUUGUAUAAUAAAGCAAAUCACUACUCUAAGUACUGUUACAAACCAAUUCAUAUUUUGUUUUUGAAUUGUAGCUACUGUAAUAUAACUUUUCCAUGG
rnacentral:lncRNA from 1 species